rnacentral:rRNA from 1 species
AUUGAACGCUGGCGGCAGGCCUAACACAUGCAAGUCGAGCGGAUGAAGGGAGCUUGCUCCUGGAUUCAGCGGCGGACGGGUGAGGAAUGCCUAGGAAUCUGCCUGGUAGUGGGGGAUAACGUCGGGAAACGGGCGCUAAUACCGCAUACGUCAUGAGGGAGAAAGUGGGGGAUCUUGGGACCUCACGCUAUCAGAUGAGCCUAGGUCGGAUUAGCUAGUUGGUGGGGUAAAGGCCUACCAAGGCGACGAGCCGUAACUGGUCUGAGAGGAUGAUCAGUCACCCUGGAACUGAGACACGGUCCAGACUCCUACGGUAGGCAGCAGUGGGGAAUAUUGGACAAGGGGCGAAAGCCUGAUCCAGCCAUGCCGCGUGUGUGAAGAAGGUCUUCGGAUUGUAGAGCACUUUAAGUUGGGAGGAAGGGCAGUAAGUUAAUACCUUGCUGUUUUGACGUUACCAACAGAAUAAGCACCGGCUAACUUCGUG